UACAGAGGUCUCAAGCGUUGUUCGGAUUCAUUGGGCGUAAAGGGUGUGUAGGUGGCGCCGUAAGUCGGGUGUGAAAUUUCGGAGCUUAACUCCGAAACUGCAUUCGAUACUGCGGUGCUUGAGGACUGGAGAGGAGACUGGAAUUCAUGGUGUAGCAGUGAAAUGCGUAGAGAUCAUGAGGAAGACCAGUGGCGAAGGCGAGUCCCUGGACGAUACCUGACACUGAGGCACGAAAGCCAAGGGAGCAAACAGG
rnacentral:rRNA from 1 species